AUUGAACGCUGGCGGCAGGCCUAACACAUGCAAGUCGAGCGGAUGAGGGAAGCUUGCUUCCCGAUUUAGCGGCGGACGGGUGAGUAAUGCCUAGGAAUCUGCCUAUUAGUGGGGGAUAACGUUCCGAAAGGAACGCUAAUACCGCAUACGUCCUACGGGAGAAAGUGGGGGAUCUUCGGACCUCACGCUAAUAGAUGAGCCUAGGUCGGAAUAGCUAGUUGGUGAGGUAACGGCUCACCAAGGCGACGAUCCGUAGCUGGUCUGAGAGGAUGGUAAGCCACACUGGAGCUGAGACACGGUCCAGACUCCUACGGGAGGCAGCAGUGGGGAAUAUUGGACAAUGGGCGAAAGCCUGAUCCAGCCAUGCCGCGUGUGUGAAGAAGGUCUUCGGAUUGUAAAGCACUUUAAGUUGGGAGGAAGAGUUGUAAGCUAAUAUCUUGCAGCUUUGACGUUACCAACAGAAUAAGCACCGGCUAACUCUGUGCCAGCAGCCGCAGUAAGAC
rnacentral:rRNA from 1 species